ACAUCAGCCAAUGGUUGGCUGAUCGCUAUCGGAUAACGUGUGCUUUUGGUUAUUUGACAGCGGUUCUCUUUCUAU
rfam:Chlorobium phaeobacteroides BS1, complete genome.